CUAGAAAAACUAGAUACAACAUCAGGAUUUUAACAUCAUUCAUAAAACCACUGCUGUUAUAUGUCUUUUUAACAUCAAUUUUUUUUAACACGAUGUUAAACCAUAUUUUAGACAUCAAUUUCUUAAAUAACUGAUAUCUUAUUAUCAGUAUUAAAAAAAGAAAAAAAAGCACAGCACAGUUCUCCCUUAUUACACAACACUCGUUGGACUCAACCAAAAAAUAAAACAUAUCAUAAAAAUUCUCCCCCUUUUCUAUUUCUCUCUCGGACAUUCUCUCACUUUGUCUCCCCUCUCUCGAUAACUCUCUCUCUCCGCUGUAGCACUACCUCUCACCAUCUCCCUCUUCCAUCUCUCCCUCUCUAACCAUCUCCCUCACUACAGUAGAAUAAUCGAUUUAAAAGAAACAAGUAGUCGGCUAAUUAGGGUUUUGAAAGGGGAUCUGAAGAAGGAAGAAAUUGAAGCUUUUUAUGUGUGUUUGUUGUGUAUAUAUGUGUUUUUAUUAUCUAUUGGUGGUGGUGGUGGUUAAUUAACGGCGGCGACGUUAACCAGAUUUGAAGGGGACUGUAGGGUAUUUGUGUCUUGGCGAUGGCGAUAGGCCGAUAUCGUGUUGUACGGGUCCGAUAGAAGUUGCUCCGAAAUAUUGCAGUGGUGCUUGGGAGAGGUUGAAGUUUUGUGCUCGAAGCAGGGCCAUUGACGGGGAUUGUCUGGAAGGAAGUAGUUGAGCUCAGCAUGGAAUGGUUGGAAAUUGAAGAAGAAGGCUGAGUAUUGGGUUGAUUUGGACUCACCAAGUUAACUCAGUUGGAGACUUGCGACAGAUUUCCUCUCAAACUACAUAAUGGCAAGCAUGCUUUGACAUUGAUCUUUGUGGAGACCAAGAGGGGAGCUGAUUCAAUAGAAAGCUGGUUAGGCAGAAAUGGCUUUUUAGCAACACAAUACAUGGUGAAAAAGGCUAGAUGGUAAGUGCAAUUUUUUUGUCUUGAAUUUCAAAGUUUGAUGCUCUUUCUCUGUCUUGAUAUGUAAAUAUACAACUUCACGUUGGAGGCUGCUACAUUGUAAUAACUUUAUUAACUUAUUGUGAAUUUGAAUAUCUUUUUAAUUCUACAAUAAAUAUCUGAUUUUCUAUUCUUAAUUUUGAUAUUACCUGAAGUUUUCCUUCAUGUUGUGGUAUGAUAUACUUUUUGAUGACUGAGAGAAAGGGAACGUGCCUUGAGAUCUUUCGUAACUGGAGUAUGGCAGAACAGGCAUAACCCAUUACAAGACUCUUGUGCAGCUCAUGCAGGAAGUCAAACAACAAGUUCCUUCCUGGCUCACUAUUGAGGAGACAUCUGCAUCUUAUGAUGGUGGGAGGGCAUAUCGACCUGGAGGCAGCAAGUUUGGUGGCCAUGAUUUCAGAAAGGCAACAAAUAUAUAGUAACGAUUUGUACUUCUAGCUAGCUGUGAUUUUUGUGGAUUACGAGCUACUUUAAUUUGUGGUAUUUGAUAUAUAUGAGUAGAGUUUUGACUUGGUAAUUGGUACGAUGGCUGUUGUUUAAUUUAUUGUGGUGCAUAUUUUUUAGAUGGUGAUGUCAUGAAUAGAAGAA